AUACGGAGGGUGCAAGCGUUACUCGGAAUCACUGGGCGUAAAGGACGCGUAGGCGGGUUGUCAAGUCAGAUGUGAAAUCCUACAGCUCAACUGUAGAACUGCAUUUGAAACUGGCAACCUAGAGUAUGGGAGGGGGAGAUGGAAUUAGUGGUGUAGGGGUAAAAUCCGUAGAUAUCACUAGGAAUACCGAAAGCGAAGGCGAUCUCCUGGAACAUUACUGACGCUGAGGCGUGAAAGCGUGGGGAGCAAACGGGAUUAGAAACCCGAGUAGUCC
rnacentral:rRNA from 1 species